UGGGUUGUCUUAGUUCAUUGGGGGUGCAAUAACGCAGUACCAUAAACUUAUUUCUUACAGUUCUGAAGGCUGAAGUCCAAGACCAGGGUGGCAGCAUGGUCAGGUCCUGGCGAGGGCCAUUUUCCGAUGAGAAAACUGAAGCUCAGAGACAGAAAACGAGGUCUUCAGACUCCAGGUCCAGAGUGUCAUCCCCCACCAGGUAGGACUGCUUUCUUUAGGGCCCUGGACUCAAAAGAGCAUCUGCAGUCGGCCUUUUGGACCACACAGGACCAGAGAGCCUUGGUGAAGAGUAGGUGGUUAGGGCUGUCAGGAGCACUUUUUGGUGGG
rnacentral:lncRNA from 1 species